rnacentral:rRNA from 1 species
UACGUAGGGGGCAAGCGUUGUCCGGAUUCAUUGGGUGUAAAGAGCGUGUAGGCGGCCAGGUAGGUCGGUUGUGAAAACUGGAGGCUCAACCUUCAGAGGUCGAUCGAAACCAUCUGGCUAGAGUCCGGGAGAGGAGAGUGGAAUUCCUGGUGUAGCGGUGAAAUGCGCAGAUAUCAGGAAGAACACCCGUGGCGAAAGCGGCUCUCUGGAACGGUACUGACGCUGAGACGCGAAAGCGUGGGGAGCGAACAGG